rnacentral:rRNA from 1 species
UACAGAGGGUGCAAGCGUUGUUCGGAAUUAUUGGGCGUAAAGGGCGCGUAGGCGGUUCGGCAAGUCUCUAGUGAAAUCUCUGGGCUCAACUCAGAGUCUGCUGGGGAAACUGCCGGGCUUGAGUGUGGGAGAGGAGAGUGGAAUUCUCGGUGUAGCGGUGAAAUGCGUAGAUAUCGAGAGGAACACCUGCGGCGAAGGCGGCGUCUGGACGAUGACUGACGCUGAGACGCGAAAGCGUGGGGAGCAAACAGG